UUAAUUGUCUCUUUGUUUUGAUUAAUUAAAAUGAAGACUGUGAUUAAUUAAAAGGUACUGAGUUGGUUUAAAAGUGAAUUCUUUUAACUUUCUCAUGGUUUUGUCGUUUUUUGAUCAUCUUACUUCUUGGAUUAUUGAGUUUUGGUUGAUUGUUUUUGGUCAAUAUUUUGAUAGUCAAUUUGGUGGUUUGUCCUUAAAUUGGAUUAGAUUUGAAUUCUAAUUUUCUAAUCAAUUUCUGUCAUCAAAUGGAUUGAAUGGAGAAGGUCAAUUCCUGAGAUAAGAUGAGAUUUUCUUUCUUUGUUAUAGGAAAUUUUAUAACCGAAAAAGAAACAAUAACAUGGACUUGUUAUCUUUCCAAGAGUAGUGGUGGUUUUAACGUCUAAUUUAAGGAGCUGUUAAUUGUGUUAAAAUUUACCUGUUGGAAUUUGAUAAAUUGUUCUUUUGUCGUAAAACAAUGCGAAAGGUAACCUAAUGAUAACAAAUGUUCAAACAAGAUAAUAUGUUGGCUAUUUUAAUGGUCGGUGUAACAUUGAAGAAAAGAGGAAAAUCCAUUAAAAGUAGCGUCACAAUGGACAAGGAACCCAAAUCCAUAAAUGGAAAACAAGAAGACCAAAUAGGAAAAGAAGAGAAAAAAUUUACCUUAGGAAAUAUGAGCAACUAGUGCCAUCUUAUUUUCACUUCGGACAAUCAGUGUAAACAAAAGUGACCAUUUUAAAAUUUAAUUUCCAUUCUAAAGGGUAGAAGAAAGUGAAAGGGUAACAUUGAUUAACUCUAAUUGUUGGCUCGUUGCUACAAUUUACUCUCACUUGACAACUUGUCAGAAAGGAAAAACUUUUCCUUCUCAACAGUGAUAACCUGUUUACAAGCUCGGUUGAUUUUAAUGUGAAAAAAAAGCUGAAAUAUACAAAUUGAGUCACAAUCAGAUAUUCAUUCAGAAGUCAUCGUGUCGACGAAAUGAUCUUUAGACGAUUCACCCUGAGGAUCAUGCUCAAGGUUCUGUUUUCAAGUGAAUUUCAAAUAUAUUUAGUUUUACAUGUUCUUUUCCUACCUGAUGAAUACACACAUACAUAUAAGUGUGAAUACUUUUUCUUGAAUCUCUCGCUCACUAAUUCCUCUUACAUGAUGAAUAUACACCAAAAGUGAGCGAGUGUAAGUACGCUUAGAAAAUGAGUAUAUAUACAUGUACAUGUUUAAUAAGAUAGAUGAUAGUGAAUAAUUGAGUCGUUGUUUUGCAACAAUUAAAUGACCUUUCGACCCAAUUCUCAUCUUUCGAUGGAAUAGCGUUUGUCUCUUUUUCGUUGAUUUUUACUUUUCUUCAUUUUCUACUAUAAGAAAACAAAAAAUACAAAAUAUUUAAGAAAAAAAAAUCUCUAUUCUUAUUAUUACUUUAUGCAUAUUAUCAUUUUCUCAUUAUGAUUAUCAAACUAUUAUCAUUAUCACUUUGAUUCUGUUUCUUACCUUUUCUUAUUAUUAUUAUUGUUGUUGUUUUUUGUUAUGCUUUGCAAAUCAAUUGAAGUUUGCCAAAGGAACCAUUUUCAAGGAGGAUAGAGAGAGAGUGUGUGUGAGAGAGAGAGAGACAGGGAGAGGGUGGAGAGUGAGAGGAGGUGGAAAAAUAUUGAAAAAGAAAACGCAAAUUACUGGAUCAACAUCAACAAUUAUUGAAAUUAUAAUUCAAUCAAAGAUGGAGAUAUGUUUAUAUUGUAUAUGUAUGGAAAAAUCUGGUCCAAGGUUACUCAACGGUAUCAUGUUUGAACCAAUUGGAAACCUUGGAUUGGAGAUGAAGGAAGGAAGACGAAAAGGAAGAGAGUGAGUGGAGUGAGAGAAAUGAAGGUAACUCACAACGUAAACGAACAGGAGAAGGAAGAAGGAAGAAAAUGAAAAGACGAAUAAGAUGAGAUGGAAAAAACAACGAUAUCAACACAAUGGCGAUCGUGAAGAUAAAGUGAAAAUUGGAAAACGUAGUAUUUACAAAGAGAUGUCUGAGGUUCCACUCAUGUUCUGUCAAGUCAUGUAAUAAUAUUCACUCAGUAGAAUCAUUUGGGAUCAAUGGUAUCAUCAUCUUCACAUAUGCAAGAUGAAUUUUAUGCAUAUAUUGCAAUCAUGUUAAGAAGAGAAGUGAGAUCUGUGUGUGUGUGAGAGAGAGAGAGAGAGAGAGAGAGAAAAAACAUCAAAAAGGUAAGAAAAGAAAGUGAAUAAAGAAGCCAGAUAAAAGAGAGGAUCUGGCAAAUCUCCAUGUUACUCUAUCAACUAUCAUGAUCAUUGAAUUGACAAACGUUUUAACCACUGUGAGUGUCUCUCUAUCUCUCUCUAAUCCAAGGGAAAUGGCCAUUGAAAUGAUGAUUAUUGAAAAACGUUCACAAAAAAUCUCAACCGAAGGACUUGCAAAGUAAAACAACAAAACAGUUACUUAAUCAAUUGAUGAUGAAGUUCAAUGAUAAUGGUUAAUUAAACAAAAAAGCAUUCGCAUCGAUAAUCGACCUCCAAACUUGUCCACUUGACCUUUCACCAUUUUCGCCUUGAGGUAAAUUGAUGGCAAAUGAUACAAGGAUAACCAGUAGAACUAAUGAAAGAAACUAGAGGCUAUUCCAAAAUAAUCUUCUUAUUGAAAUUGGUCAUUUUUCUUUUCAGUAUCUAUUUAGCAUCUAUCAUCCACGCCCUGGAAAUGUAUGUUCCCUAUUCCUGAAAUUUUCUGUCAAAAGGUGGAUCCACUUCGUAGGAAAAAAAAAAGAAAUGAUGUUAAUUUCAAGUAGAGAACCAGAAGAAAGAAGAUGAAGAAAGAGAAAGAGAAUCAAUCUGAUGAAAUUUAUUCCUGAUAAUUGUGGAAAUGCAAAACGAGUGAAUAUAAGAUAAUAUAUGAAAGACAGGUCCUCAUCUUCAUCCUCAUCUUCAUCAAAUUCCCUCAACCAAAGUGUAAAAUUAAAUGAAGAAAAAAACCUGAUUUGAUUUAUCUAGAGAUUCUGUUCAAGUUCAUUCAGGUGAACUUCAUGAAAACAAGAUAUUUAUUCAUCAUCUGAAAGAAGCAGAAUGAAGUUACACAUUAAUAAUGUCCACUGGCCUCUUCUCUUUAUGCAAUUCAUUUUCUUCAUCUUCUUAUUCAUCCACAAAGCCGUAAUCUCACCAGUAACAAUAUUUUAUCUCUUUCUUCAUCACCAGCUUUAUAUCAACACCUAUCAUAUUAACCCAAUGAAUGGAAUAUAAUGUGAUCAUAAUCAUCAUUUAGAAAGUAAAUCACAUUUCAAGUUAUAUCAGUUAACGUUGAAAUUUUGACAAGUUCAACUAUCAUGAUGAUCGUCGUGAAGAAGGGCAUUCAUGUAACAGCAUCAAAUUGUGAUGGUUAUGAUUAUAUUAAUUGUAAUACUUUCACAUGUUGAUGAUGGAAAGACACACAAAAUGGUGAUAUUGAUGAAAAGGAACCAAUAAUGGAGAAAAAGUAAAAGCAAAUUAAGCAACAAGGGAAAAGACAAUCAACAUAUGAUGAUGAUGAAAAAAAAGGAAGAUGACAAGAUUAUCAUUUGUAUGUUAACUCAACCAGAUUUUACCAGAAUUAAGAUGAGAAUUAUUAUUAUCAACACUUAAUUCGUUUACAAUUAGGAGUGUGUACUUUUUUUUCUCUAUCCCAAGAGAUCGUUCGACGACAAUUAUGGCCCUUGAAAGUUCAUUUCAUGGAAUCUGAAAGGAAUUGACCUUUGUCCAUUUCAUGGUUAUUCAUUGGUUAAUCGUCUGGUGGAACUGAUGAAAGAUUCCAUUGAUUAUGUAUCAUGAUUAUCGCCAUUGUUGACUGAAUAACAAUGGAAUUGAUUGUAUCCCUUGUAAUUGUAAUAAUUAUUACGUCUUCUAGUGGCUCCAUUUAAUAACAUUAUCUGUAUUUUCUCAUUAUUAUUAUCUCAUUACUAUCAUGAUGAUUAGUUGAUUAUCUUUAUUACUAUUAUUCAUUAAUACAGUUAAUCUGUUUUUUCCCAGUCUCUCAAACUUCAAUCCUGUGAUUCUCAAGGUUUAAUUGUUGCUGAUUGAAAAAAAUAAAUUGUGUCUCAAUUGUGUCAAAAUCUGACUGUCAAUGGCUGAUUUACAUUGGAAAAUCAACUAUACCAAUUAAUUAAAUUGUUACUAAGAUAAAUUUUAAUAACUCACCAGUCAUUUGAUUGUAUUCUUACUAAUUUAAUCUAUUUCUAUGAUUUAUUAA